rnacentral:rRNA from 1 species
UACGGAGGGUGCAAGCGUUAUCCGGAUUCACUGGGUUUAAAGGGUGCGUAGGAGGGCAGGUAAGUCAGUGGUGAAAUCUCCAAGCUUAACUUGGAAACUGCCGUUGAUACUAUCUGUCUUGAAUGUUGUGGAGGUGAGCGGAAUAUGUCAUGUAGCGGUGAAAUGCUUAGAUAUGACAUAGAACACCAAUUGCGAAGGCAGCUCACUACACAAUUAUUGACUCUGAGGCGCGAAGGCGUGGGGAGCGAACGGG